rnacentral:lncRNA from 1 species
UGAGAGAUUAAGAGAGAUUUGGUAAGAGAUUAAGAGAAGUUUAGAAGAGAUUGUGAGAGAAAUGGGGAGAUUAAGUAUGAUCCAUGAUGAACAAGAGAGAGACUAGAGAGAGAGUAACAUAACUCGCGUAAAUUCAUUAAUGAGAGAGUGUUUACAAUAUAUAGGAGUGUGAUACUAGGGUUUAAGAAGAGACUAAGCAUGUGAGGUCAAGGCUAAGGGAGCCUUUAAUUUGAACCGGACCAAUGAGCCUCUCCACACGCGUGGUCACUAUGCUAAAAGUGAACCUUAUCCUUCCAGCCUGUGCCAGCCUGUAGAGAUGCUCUUCCUCUAUCCAUAAACGGUCAUAUGCCUUCUUUGGUCA